AACGAACGCUGGCGGCGCGCCUAAUACAUGCAAGUCGAGCGAGAAGACGUAGCAAUACGUUUGUAAAGCGGCGAACGGGUGAGGAAUACAUGGGUAACCUACCCUCGAGUGGGGAAUAACUAGCCGAAAGGUUAGCUAAUACCGCGUACGCUCCUUGGACUUCGGUUCAGGGAGGAAAGCGAUACCGUGGGUAUCGCGCUCUUGGAUGGGCUCAUGUCCUAUCAGCUUGUUGGUGAGGAACGGCUCACCAAGGCUUCGACGGGUAGCUGGUCUGAGAGGACGAUCAGCCACACUGGCACUGCGACACGGGCCAGACUCCUACGGGAGCAGCAGUAAGGAAUAUUGCGCAAUGGGCGAAAGCCCUGACGCAGCGACGCCGCGUGGGGGAUGAAGGUCUUCGGGAUUGUAAACCCCUUUCGGGAGGGAAGAUGGAUGGGGUAACCCAUUCGGACGGUACCUCCAGAAGCAGCCACGGCUAACUUCGUGCCAGCAGCCGCGGUAAC
rnacentral:rRNA from 1 species